ACGGGUGGCCCUCUUUCUGCAG
rnacentral:miRNA from 1 species